GUUAUUCAUUAGAGAUAUUUGUUAGUAAUAAGUUAUCGUUCGCAAGGCUUCGCAAUUUUGCUGAGCUGUUCAAUUAUCGUUAAUCACAAAGAACAUCAGAUGAAAUAAUUUAGUUAAUUGGAAACUCGUCUGGAGAUCUCGUACGUGAUUUAUAGAAUAGAAUUUUGUAGAGAAAAAAAAUGAAAUCGUAAUUUGUACAGAGUCCUAUGAGGCAUUGUUUAAUGGACUAAUCAUGUGUCGUCACUCAAAAUCUGCGUCAAGAUCAUGAUGUCCUGGAAGGUGUACACGAAUGGGGCGUACAAACAAGGUUAGGAUGCACAAUCCUCAUUUAAACUUCUCGAUUUCGUGGGAAUACUGGGAAGGUACCAUCUGGUACCAUGUUGUUGGAAGACAGAAAGAAAACACAAUGAAAUAAUCACUCGGUGGUACCAUCAACGAGGGCUCAUUCUGUCCUCAACAAUCGAAAGACAAUUUCACGGAGCACUGAAAGGAGAGUCACAAAAAUGGAGUCAGAGAAUCGACUGACAGUGCCCAAGGCUCCCAAACUCACAUCACCUGGAAGAUCGCGAACACCUCCGCAGGAACUCAAAAAGACGUCACCGAAGAAUCUCGAUAUUCUCAAAAAAUACGAAGAGUGGAGUGCAGGUCGAUCCAUUGAAACUCGUCCCCCUCGUUCACCGUCGCCGAGGAACGAUUCACAUUUCACAUUAAACGAAAACUAAAUAUAAUUAAUUUUGUACUGCAAUAAAAAAAGAUGAAAUUUUA